CAUGGAAAGAAUUUCAUUGGAAGUGGUCUUAUAUUGUGAAACAUAUAAAAAUCUUCGAAACUAUUUAUAUAUUGAAAUAGAUAGCGUAUAAUAAUUACUGGAUUUGGGGUUUUGUUAUAUUACUUUUUAUAAGAACAAGAUUCUCUUUUUGGUCACGAACACUUGGCUAGCAGUCGCCGCGUGGCGGAGCAGGUUAUGAUACGUGUGCCGUUUUAUUGGAUGUUGCAACUUGCAACCCAACCAAGUCUUCCCAUAUUUUAAUGGGCAUAACUUCACGGACCAUGCCUUUAACUUGGAAGCAUGUCAAUUAAUUUUUGUCAGCGGUCAAUAAAAUAAGGAGAUUACAUAUACUCCAUGCCCCGAACUCUCAGUAGCCUC
rnacentral:lncRNA from 1 species